AACGCACGAGACCUGCGGACCUGCGGAAGGAUCAUUAACAAAUCCAUUGGCGCGCAUCCAAAUGUCUCCAUGCAUUGGGGAUGCAGCGACAUAUGUACCGUGUGCACGUUUACUCUGUACACUGCUUACAUUUCUACGAAUUAUCUGAUUGUUCAUAAAUGCAUAAAUGUCAACUUUCAACAAUGGAUCUCU
rnacentral:misc_RNA from 1 species